rnacentral:rRNA from 1 species
CCUACGGGGGGCUGCAGUGGGGAAUUUUGGGCAAUGGGCGAAAGCCUGACCCAGCGACGCCGCGUUGGGGAUGAAGUCCUUCGGGGCGUAAACCCAUGUUGUAGGGGAAGAAGAAAGUGACGGUACCCUACGAGAAAGCCCCGGCCAACUACGUGCCAGCAGCCGCGGUAAAACGUAGGGGGCGAGCGUUGUCCGGAAUUACUGGGCGUAAAGGGCAUGCAGGCGGUGCGCCAAGUCGGGGGUGUAAAGUUACGGCUCAACCGUGACCUUGCAAUCGAAACUGGCGCACUGGAGUGCGGGAGAGGGAAGUGGAAUUCCCGGUGUAGCGGUGAAAUGCGUAGAUAUCGGGAGGAACGCCAGUGGCGAAGGCGGCUUCCUGGCCCGCGACUGACGCUCAUGUGCGAAAGCCAGGGGAGCGAACCGGCUUAGAUACCCCAGUAGUC